rnacentral:rRNA from 1 species
AGUGAACGCUGGCGGUAUGCCUAACACAUGCAAGUCGAACGGCAGCACAGUAAGAGCUUGCUCUUACGGGUGGCGAGUGGCGGACGGGUGAGGAAUACAUCGGAAUCUACUUUUUCGUGGGGGAUAACGUAGGGAAACUUACGCUAAUACCGCAUACGACCUACGGGUGAAAGCAGGGGAUCUUCUGACCUUGCGCGAUUGAAUUAGCCGAUGUCGGAUUAGCUAGUUGGCGGGGUAAAGGCCCACCAAGGCGACGAUCCGUAGCUGGUCUGAGAGGAUGAUCGGCCACACUGGAACUGAGACACGGUCCAGACUCCUACGGGAGGCAGCAGUGGGGAAUAUUGGACAAUGGGCGGAAGCCUGAUCCAGCCAUACCGCGUGGGUGAAGAAGGCCUUCGGGUUGUAAAGACCUUUUGUUGGGAAAGAAAGGCAGCAGGUUAAUACCCAGCUGUUCUGACGGUACCCAAAGAAUAAGCACCGGCUAACUUCGUG